UAUUUUUUUUUUAUGAAAUACGAUUAACUUCGUACUUAUCAAUUGUUUUGUAAAAACAGAGGAUCAUAUACUAUCUAAUGAUUCAUUCUAAGUUCAAUUUUUCAAUUCAAGUGCAUCGACGGCAUACUUAUCUAUAUAAACAUACACAUCGAUACCGAUGAAUUUUCCAAUGUUCUCUUAGUUUACUCUUUUCCGCACUCGUCAUUGUAUGUGACAACACAUAUUUUGAGCGAUAUUGGGUAACAAGUUUAAUGCCUUACUAUGUACAAUAUAAGAUUGGUCGGAAUAAAAAGAGACAAAGAUAAUAGCCAAAGGGUAGCAGCCAAGCAAAUCCUUAUUUGUGUCUUUCUUUUGAGUUAGCUUCACUGAUCAUGCUUAUCAGCUACAACUUCAUUGUGUAACAUGUGCGUCACUGUUACGUGUGUCAUCACAAUCAUCGAUAUGUUCGGUGCUGCCUUUCGUUUCGAAGGACGUAUGCAGAAUGAUAAAAACAGAGUCCGAUACUUAAAGAACUUUUAAUACUUUAGUACUUAUUCAUCGAGAAAAGUAAAAAAUUGUAUAUCAACAUAGAUUCUAAAAGCAAUCCUUUCGAGGAAGAAUCAAUUUUUAUUGUUUAUUAGGACUUGCUAGUAUAAAUAUUUUUUUGCAGCACACUAUAUAUGUACUUCAUAGUAGUCAAAAGUUAGUAGUACUUACCAAUGUUCAUAUUUGUAGAUAUUCGAUAUAUUUUCUUUUCACUUAAUAUAAAGUUCAAAUGUCAUAGAUUGACGUAACAAAUAUAUUUUCAAAUAUUUUUUCCGUGCGAUAUAUCAUAUAUUAAGCAUUUUCUAUUCAUCAUUGCAAAUCCGACGUAUUAUUUAUUAUUGACGAUGAGUAAGGUAGUAUGUAUAAAACUGAGUAAGUAUAAAAUCAAAAGAGUUCAAGUUAAUAUAUUACGAAGAGAUUUACUUACUAUAUCGAACACUAAUAAAUAAUAAAAGUUGAUCGAAAGGAUUGCUUUUAAAACUUAUAUUGAUGAAACAUUUUUUAUUCCUCUCGGUGAAUAGAAAUGUUUUAAUUUGAACUAUGUUUUUUAUCUAACUAGAAAAAUCUUAUAUAUCUACCUGAAAUACAAUUUGUGCUUUAUAAUUAAUAUUAAUUAAUAAUAGACAUAUAGUAAAAUUUGCAAAAAGAUUGGGCUAUCAAAUAGUCAAAGGAUCAAGGGAUACGACGAAUCUUCCCAUGGGUCAAGGGAUCUAAACAGCGCAUGCUCGGAUCAAUGUCUGGAACUCGGCGAGAUGGUGUGAGGAGAAACGGGGAGGAGAAACCCAGGUUUAAUAUUCGAAUCGAUUCAAUUCGCUAAAAGAGACUACAAGCUAUUUGAUGAGAGUUAGACAUGCUAUUUAUUUUGAAUUGAGUCACCGAUCAGACCAGUUAUAUCACCUCAAGGUGGACUAACGUAAUAGAAGCAAAUUAAUCUAUGUAGCGAAAAAGAAGAAAGGAAGGAAUGGGGCUGUUGUUGUUCAAUCAAAUUUUAAAGUACUUCUGAAGAGGAAGACAAUUUAGAGGAAAGAUAAGCUUAAGAUCGGAUGCUGCAGCUAUAUUGUGAAGUUACACUUUUUCACUAUGUUCUGGGCAAUUUUUAUGGCAAUGAAUUUCACCAUCCGACCGAUGUAAACAAUGUUACAACCAAUGGAAAAAUGGUUACAUAAAAAGGUUACAUAAAAAUUAACAUAGAAGUAUAUGCGAUUGAUGCGUUCUUAAGUGUUUCUCAUCUAAUACUCCAACUAUUUGUCAUUAAGUAACCAAAGACAUUUUGGGACGAUUUAUCUGUUACAGAAUAAUAAUGUUUUAUUUUCAAUGAUGAAAAAGGAAAGAAAUCAAAUAAAGUGUUAAUUUAAUAUUUCGUUUAAUACACAAGGCAUAGCUUUCGAUGGGAAGUUCAAAUUCAUUCAAGUGAGAUGUAUGUUUUCGUUUAAUAAAUUCGAAGUAUUUGAAGAAGUACUCGAUCGACAUAUUAAAGAUUAUUGUGAGAAUUCUGCGAAGAAAGAAAAUAUCGAUGCCUUGGAAUUUACUUUUCAUUCGUGCGGCAACAAAAAUUAUAUCAUUUGGUUGUCCGUGAAUCUAUCCCACUUUCGCAUAUCAUUUUGCGUAGAACCAAAAAGUUGAAAUACUGCUGACCUGAAUGAUAUACGCACCAAGGGUUGCUAUAAAAGUGUAUAAAACGUUGUAAAAUUCAAACGUCAUUUGUCUUAUUGAUAAUAUGAAAUGGAGAAGAUUAAGGACAGUUCACAACAUGGCCUCAGGUUCUAGUUUUAAUUCUAUCUUUUCUCUAGAUCGUCUUCCUAUUCGGAACUCCUUUAAAAUUUGAUUGAACAACUGUGUCCCCCUCCUUCCUUUCAUUUUUCUCGUUAAAUAGAUUACUUUGCUUCUAUUACGUGGUUCUGCCUUGAGGAGAUAUGAUCAGUUACGUCGGCGAUUCAAUUCAACAUAAGCAACUUAUUCAACUCUAUUCGAAUCCUACUUAUUCGAGCAAAAAAUUCCAUUUUGAUACACGUUCCGCCUAUCUCGUCAAACAGCCCUCUGAUGGCUUUUCUGAUCUCAAUCGAUCAUAUCCUCUAGCUAAAGCUACCUACCUAUGGAUCUUUUGAAAAAAGUAUUCCGUUUCCUCGUUCCAUUAUUCGAAUAAACUUUUGUAAAACAACGUCAUAUUAGUCUUGUCAAAGUUCGCUGUCACUUUCAUAAAUUUUGUCUUGUUUCUCGUUAAUCUCGAUCACAUAAUGAACACAUGGUAUGGAUCUUUACGAAUCACCUAAAACAAGGUCGACGUUUGACAUGGAAAUACCUUGCCUUUACAUCCAGUACGUUGAUUUAUAAUAUUCCCAAAAGUUUUGGAAGCUACUGAUAAUCUUAAACAGUAUAAUUUCGCUUAUCCUGACCAUUACCAUGUAAUUUAAUGUGUACUUUCCACGCAUAAGGUAUAUAGAUAUUUUUUUCGUUUUUCUUUUUUUCUGAAUUCAUGCUAAAUCAAAGCAUCAUGUCAUUACCGAUAAAUUGUAGCAAAAAACUCAAAAUGUUAAAUUAUACCGUUUUAAAUGAUAACAUCUGACAACUUCCAAAGUUAAAUGCUUGAUAUUCCAUAGGAUCAUGGUAGAUGAAAGAUAUGUUUUUGACGAAGGAUUAUUCGAAAUAUUUCUCUUACAAAUGUAAUUUUUAAUUUGUUUAAUAAUAAUAAAGGAAUUUUACAAAAAGAAUUAUAUAGUAUGAAAAUUGUAUUAUCAUUUAUAUCUAAUAUUAUUAUUAUACUAUUCUUAUAUCUAAUUCAGACUUACACAACGAAACAUUAAGGCUGUUCAUCAUAUUUUAAAGUUUAAUCUAGGACUCUUUUUCAAAUUUUAGAAAAAGCUUUAUUUUCUUCCAAAAACAUCGAUAUAGGUGGUAUUUUUCCGACAAUAGUUUAUUUACAAAAAAAAGCGUUUUUAAAUAUUUGAGGAGAUAGGAUCCUAGAUUAAAUCUUUCUCUUCAAAAUGAGAUCUUGUUCAUUAAAAUUUGUCAAGAAUUACGCUUGUUCUCAUUGUUAACACUUGUUAAUAAUAUUUACUCAUCACAUAGAUCUUCUUCGUUCAGUAUUCAUUGACUUAUUUCACAUUCUUAUUAGUACACUAUUUUAUUCAUUAUUUUUGAUUCCCCUUUACUUCACAGGACUUCGGUCGUCACAAUUAAAGCAUCCCUUACUUGCCGUACCAUUGUUUCCUUGAGAGACCCUCUUUCUUUUUUGACCUUGGUUAUUUUUUCUUUUUUUUUUACAGUUGACUUUCGUUAUAUACAUUGAUGAUGUUUCAACUUUUUUACAGUUUAGAAAUCAUUUUGGUAGUACAUAAUAUAAUUUUAUUUAUUUCGUUAUAGUGCAUUCCAUUAAUUACAUACUGGAUUAAUGCGUUAUACGCGAUAUCAUCUUGAGCGACGAUUUUGAGCAUCUUAUAGAUAUAUUCUGAUAAUGAUUUCUUUCUCUAAUUUUUUAUGGACGGUAUAACUCUUGAUUACUUUGGUAAAUCCUUUCUUUACCAUACGCUUUAGUUAAUUCCACGUUUUUUUUUCUCAGUCUUCAAAAUGUACGGCUAACGAUUUAGAGAAUCGCUAAAGAGUAUCUUGGUCCAUUCAUAUAACUUAGCCAUUUUCAUCUUUAAAAUCCGUCAACUAGACUUUCAUCGUCUCUAAUUUCGUCUUUGAAGGUCAAUGCAACCAUGAGUCAUCUUGAAAAUAGCACGGACACCAUACGAUGUUCGUCAUCAUGCGAGCUAUUGUCUUCAAGAUCAUCAUCGUUAUCGUUGUCAUCGUCGUCCUCGUUGUUUUUGCUGUGACCUUAAUCCAAUUAUAACUUUGCUUUGAAAACCACUCGCCAAAUCUUCUUUACAUCCUAACAUAUUGAGUUCCUGCUUUUUUAGCUUAUCGUCCCUUAAUUCGUCUCUUUUUAAUUCUUUUAUUUAAAAUGUGAUAUUUAAAAAGUGAAGUUUUUAUUCUUUUUUUUAUAAAGUGAUCGACGCCGAUAGACUGAACGAUUUAACUUAUUUCUUUGUCACUAAUGAUGAUAACUUGUUUAAUACAAUUUGCUUUGAUUAUUUCAUUGUUAUAGGUUCAGAUCUAUCUCAUUUGGUUUGAUAUUCAAUCCCGGUUGAGCAUUCAUAAUGUAGCAUUAAUGUAGCAUUAAUUAUUUGCUCGUACAAAUUUGAAUACCUCGAUUAAAUCGUAUCUCUUUUUAAUAUUUUAUUCGGUGGAAUAUUAUUUUCCGAUUAUCCUUGCAACGUUACAUAUAUAUUUUCUUUUUUCAUCAGAUAAUGUUUUCGAUCGAUAUUAAGAUCGAUAUAAGAGAUUAUAACUUUUGUCUUUCUUUGACUGAUAGGUAUAAAAAUUUGCGUUCUUCUCUUUUAGGGCCUUAGUGACCUUUCUGUAGGUGUCAAAGGCAUUAACUUGCACUUUAACGUGGUUGUCCUUUAGUUGCUUUAAAAUGUACUCGUCUUUAGCUAUUUCUUUCCAAAGAUCAAUUAGUGGUGCAAUGAUCUGAGCUUCUACAUGUAUUGAUGGGAGUUUCGGCUGUGGAUUAUUCCUUUCCGUUCUAUCGUUUUUUGGAAGUACUUCAUCUACUUCGUAGUUUGCUAAAUGAGUUGCUCACUGGUAUUUUGCUUAGCUAUUUAUCAUGUGGUUCGUUCAGAUCUGCUGUUGAAUUUCCGUUUCUUUGUAGCAUCAUGUUUACUGUUAGGGUUAUCGAUAUUCAUUGGAUCUGUCGAAGUUUCUAGUCUCGGAGUUAUCGAUUGAUUGUUAAUGGUAUAAUUUUUGCUAUUUUUGUUAAUAAAUAACUUUAAAUUAUCAUUUUGCGCCAUUAGUAACGCAAACUUGCCGUAACUGCUGAUAAAGAAUACGCAGACCUACAAAUAAGAAGAACAAAUGUAUACACGUCGACGUUCGAGAAUAAACUGAUACAAUCAUAUGGAAAGAUGAUACAAAUUUUCUAUCGUCUGCAUAUUUACAUAUGUAAAUAUAGAAAGUUACCGUCUAAUAUAAUUAUCUGAUAUAACAAUUAUAAUAUUAAUUUAAUCGUCUAAUAAAAUUAUUCGAUAUAACAAUUAUAAUAUUAACUAAUAUGAUUAUUUUAACUCUUUCUCUACGUCACGUAAAUUAUUGUUAUCUAAUUCAAGUUGUAUUAAAUGAAUACAAUCAAAACUAUGCAAAACAAUGCGAAAUUUUGGUGCCAUCCAUUGUUUCCACAAAGCCAGUGAUAACAGAAAAGAGAAUCAAGGAAAACAUGUGUUGUGUUAAUAAAUAUAAAAUAUAUCUAUGAAUAUAAAAUACAUCUAAAAUGUGCGAUCAUAAUAAAUAUAAAAUGUAUCUAUAAAAUAUAUUUAUAUUUGGUUAGAACUUUUAUCUAAUUAUAUAAUUUGAUAAGAAACAAUUUUAUUAACUAAUUAUUUGUUUUUACUUCGUAAUAUUAUUUCAAUUAUGCAUGUUAUUACGCGUAAUAUUAUUUUAAUUAUGUAAAAGAAACGAGUGUGAACAAAACAUAUGAUCUAUAUGAACAUAUAUUACGGAUAAAAAUUGUUUAGUAAAGGAAGAAUGUUACAAAGAGCUGCAAAUUCUGAAAGUAGAUAUUAAGAGAACGAUGAUCACAUGGGAAAGAUAUAUGUAUAUACAUAUGUGUGUGCGCGAGCUUGGAUAGGCGUUUAUAUAUGAACGAAUGCAAUGUAAUGGAGUUAACGAAUUGUGAUUAUCUAAGAAUAGAAAAUAGUUAGACAAACUUUAUAGAGCAAAAAUUAAAAGAGAAAAAAUCUAAAUAUAUACAUAUAUGAUAUACUAAAUAUGUAUGUAUCUCUGAAACAACUAUAAAGAAAGUUAUAAAUAAAAGUUUUUUGAUUUUGUAGGGUAAAUGUAACAACAUAUUUCCUUCUGAAUCGAUCGAAUGUUUUCUGAUGAAAUUAAGUCUACUUGUUUUUUAAAAUGAAAACCCAUAGUUCGUCUAACGAUCUGUUCUUUUACACGAGAGAAUGAAUUUUUUUCCGAAACAGAUCAUU